rnacentral:rRNA from 1 species
CCUACGGGAGGCAGCAGUGAGGAAUAUUGGUCAAUGGGCGCGAGCCUGAACCAGCCAAGUAGCGUGAAGGAUGACUGCCCUACGGGUUGUAAACUUCUUUUAUAAAGGAAUAAAGUGAGGCACGUGUGCCUGUUUGUGUGUACUUUAUGAAUAAGGAUCGGCUAACUCCGUGCCAGCAGCCGCGGUAAUACGGAGGAUCCGAGCGUUAUCCGGAUUUAUUGGGUUUAAAGGGAGCGUAGAUGGGUUGUUAAGUCAGUUGGUAAAGUGUGCGGCUCAACCGUCAAAUUGCCAUUGAUACUGGCAGUCUUGAGUAGAGUUGAGGUAGGCGGAAUUCGUGGUGUAGCGGUGAAAUGCUUAGAUAUCACGAAGAACUCCGAUUGCGAAGGCAGCUUAC